rnacentral:lncRNA from 10 species
UGAGGAUUUACACCCUGGUUCUCAGGCCUUCAGGCUCUAACUGGAGCUACACUAUCAACUUUCCUGGGCCUCCAGAUUGCAGAUGGUGGAUCACGGUACUUUUUAGCCUCCAUCAUAAGAUGAGAAAAAAGAGGCACAGUGAAGCUAAAUAUAUUGGCUAAAGAUCACAAAGCUGUUACUAUUGGUGAGGAAUUUUGGAGUAAUUUGAUUGGGUGUUCUGGCUCAAGGGUCUCUUAUGAGUUUGCAGUCAGAUGUCAGCUGUGGCUACAUCAUCUGGACACAUGACUGAGGGUGGAACAUUCAAUUUCAAGGUAUCUCACUCAUAUGGCUGCAUCGUUUCAAGGUUGGGAACCAUGGCAGGAAGAUCAUGCAGGUCUGGACUUCCUUUCCCCUCAAGGCAAAUAGAAUUCUGUGAUAAGGAUAUAGAGCGGCUUGAAGCUAGAUGAACUGGACCAUUGGUGUCCUACACAGAAGCUAUUUAAGAAGGAACAGCCCUGAUUUGGAAAAAUGUUUAACGACUCACUCUAGUGAUUGUCCGAUAUCGCUCUUUUCUCUGAAAUUUGCCUGGGGCCGCAGCAUAAAUCUACAGUUACAACCAUGAAGGUAGAAGUUGCUCAUUAAUUCAGAGGGCAGGAACUUGUGAACAUAACUGUGAGAUAUCUUUGGGCUGAAGCUUGAUGAGAGGAGUCUGCUUCAUGGAGAUCUGUAGAGAUGGGCUGAGAAGGAAGUGAAAAUGCUUUCAUGUGCCCACUGCAGUUGGUGCAUCCCAUUAGGGGCAGUUAUUGGGAGGUAGAGAAGAUUAUCAAGGUUAUCUGUGCUCAAUGUGUGCAUCUCAGAUCAGCAGCAUCAGCAUCACCUGGGAGCUUGUUAGAGCUGGAGACUCUCAGGCUCCACGGCAGACUUCCUGAAUCAGAAGCUACAAUUUAACAGGAUCCUCGGGUGAUCUGAAAAUGCAAUAAAGUUUGGGAAGCACUGCUGUUGGUCAUUAGACAAUCUAAUGAACUAAGACUUUUGCCGAGCAUCUGAGUUGAAAUUUUUCAAGAUGAAAAGUUGCUAAAGAAAGAGAAAGGGAAGCGGUUUGCUCCAGUAUUCCUCUUUCCACCUUCCCACUGACUGGGAAGCGGCGGUUAGCAGAGCCACAGUCUUGGAUUAGAGAUAAGAGGGACAUGUUGAGGAAGGUGGAGUCUCCCCCACAGCCCUGGACCAGGCUCCAGUGCCAACAAAAGCCAAGAAGAACCUCUGGAGCAAUCAGUCGCUCUGCUGAGGGAGUGCAUUUUGCUUCCAGCACAGUGCUCAACUCACACAGUUCCCAUGGAAACCCAGGGGCUACAGAGGUGUCUAGACCCUGUUUGGCACUCUAACCAGAAGUAUUCCCAGAGACUACAAGCACACUGCACACCUUGGCUCAGUUUCAAACUGGAGACAGGCAGAGAAAGAAAGAUCUUCCUCCCCUACUUUCCCGGGGAGGUCUUGAGGAGACUUCCUUUUUGUUAGUUGUUUCCAAAUUGUCCCUAUCUGAGUGGUUCUCAAACAGUGGGUCUUCGCGUGGUCAUGAAGGGCCUGCAAGAAGAUAAGGGCACCAAGCGUGGCCUGUGGCUGAGAUAAAUGAAGCAUCUCUCAUAUAUGUGUUAUGAUUUUUCAAGUAAAUGAGGUUGCUAUUGGGCUUAAUUAAAAUAAAAACUAAUUUAAGAGCAAUGCU